GAUGAAGAACGCAGCGAAAUGCGAUACUUGGUGUGAAUUGCAGAAUCCCGUGAACCAUCGAGUCUUUGAACGCAAGUUGCGCCUCAAGCCAUUAGGUUGAGGGCACGUCUGCCUCGGCGUCACAUAUCGUUGCCUGAUGCCAGUUUCCUCGUGAUGGGUGACUGUGCAGGGCGAAUGAUGGCUUCCCGUGAGCAUUGUUGCCUCAUGGUUGGUUGAAAAUUGAGUCCUUGGUAGGGAGCGCCGUGAUAGAUGGUGGUUGAGUGACGAACGAGACCCAAUCAUGUGAGACCCCUACCGAAUUUGGCCUUCAUGACCCACAUGCGUCUUUGGAACGCUCAUGACGAGACCUCAGGUCAGGCGGGGCUACCCGCUGAGUUUAAGCAUAUCAAUAAGCGGAGGA
rnacentral:misc_RNA from 1 species